GACGAACGCUGGCGGCGUGCUUAACACAUGCAAGUCGAGCGGUAAGGCCCUUCGGGGUACACGAGCGGCGAACGGGUGAGUAACACGUGGGUGAUCUGCCUCGUACUCUGGGAUAAGCCUGGGAAACUGGGUCUAAUACCGGAUAUGACCACGAAUCGCAUGGUUUGUGGUGGAAAGAUUUAUCGGUGCGAGAUGGGCCCGCGGCCUAUCAGCUUGUUGGUGGGGUAAUGGCCUACCAAGGCGACGACGGGUAGCCGACCUGAGAGGGUGACCGGCCACACUGGGACUGAGACACGGCCCAGACUCCUACGGGAGGCAGCAGUGGGGAAUAUUGCACAAUGGGCGAAAGCCUGAUGCAGCGACGCCGCGUGAGGGAUGACGGCCUUCGGGUUGUAAACCUCUUUCGACAGGGACGAAGCGCAAGUGACGGUACCUGUAGAAGAAGCACCGGCCAACUACGUGCCAGCAGCCG
rnacentral:rRNA from 1 species